GAAAUAUUCCCUCCGUCCGAAAAUACUUGUCAUCAAAAUGGACAAAAAGGGAUGUAUCUAGAACUAAAAUACGUCUAGAUACAUCCCUUUUUAUUCAUUUGGAUGACAAGUAUUUCCAGACGGAGGGAGUAUGUU
rfam:Triticum aestivum genome assembly, contig: Triticum_aestivum_CS42_TGACv1_scaffold_226718_3B